CUGUCCUCAGCUCGUGUCGUGAGAUGUUGGGUUAAAUCCCGCAACGAGCGCAACCCUUGUCCUAUGUUGCCAGCGGGUUAUGCCGGGGACUCGUAGGAGACUGCCGGGGUCAACUCGGAGGAAGGUGGGGAUGACGUCAAGUCAUCAUGCCCCUUAUGUCCAGGGCUUCACACAUGCUACAAUGGCCGGUACAAAGGGCU
rnacentral:rRNA from 1 species